rnacentral:rRNA from 1 species
GUUCACGUCCGUUUCGGGGCCGGCGUACAGGUGCUGCAUGGCUGUCGUCAGCUCGUGCUGUGAAGUGGUUGGGUUAACGUCCCGCAACGAGCGCCAACCCUGCUAUCUGUUGCCAGCAAGUGAUGGUUGGGACUCAGAUGGAACUGCCGGUGACAAACCGGAGGAAGGUGGGGACGACGUCAAGUCCUCAUGGCCUUUAUGACCAGGGCUACACACGUACUACAAUGGCCGAUACAAAGGGCAGCGACACUGCGAGGUGAAGCCAAUCCCGUAAAAUCGGUCUCAGUCCGGAUUGGAGUCUGCAACUCGACUCCAUGAAGUUGGAAUCGCUAGUAAUCGUGGAUCAGCAUGCCACGGUGAAUACGUUCCCGGGCCUU